GCCUCUGUGGUGUAACGAUAGCACAUUCGGCUCGUAUUCGAGAGAUCCAAGCUCGAGUCCUUGCCAAGGCA
rnacentral:tRNA from 1 species